rnacentral:rRNA from 1 species
UACGUAGGGUGCAAGCGUUGUCCGGAAUUACUGGGCGUAAAGAGCUCGUAGGUGGUUUGUCGCGUUGUCCGUGAAAACUCACAACUCAAUUGUGGGCGUGCGGGCGAUACGGGCAGACUGGAGUACUGCAGGGGAGACUGGAAUUCCUGGUGUAGCGGUGAAAUGCGUAGAGAUCGGAAGGAACACCAGUGGCGAAGGCGGCUACCUGGACAGAUACUGACACUGAGGCGCGAAAGCGUGGGGAGCAAACAGG